UAUAAGAGAAAUGUAUUUUUCUUCGUUCCAUAGGUGAAUGGUAUAUAUCUGUACAAUGCCAUUCAGGAAUGGGCGAUAUCGUUAUUCGACAGCAAAUACAAACGUUACAUUGCCGGACCGAAAGAGAUCUGCAGAAGAUUAUGUAAGCGUAUCGUCCGGAAAUUUGUGGUAUGGUAAAUCUGUGGGCACGCUUCGCUGCCAACAAAAAUCAUCUGUAUUGAUCACCAAAUAUUGUGUUUGUCAUUAUUCACUUGUUAUAAAGCAAUAUUAAUGCCUUUUUAAAGUAUUAUUUUCAUAAAAUGACGAAGUUAUGAAAUAGUACAUGAGUGACUGCAGAAGAAUUAGUACUGUGUUAUAAUAAUACUGCUUACAGUGAUCAUGGGAACUGUACCAACCAGUAUGGAAUAUACUGUUUACACUAAUUUGAAAAAAAAAGUUAUAUUAUACAGGAAUACCUAUAAAUUUGUUUUUGCUUAGAGCUUUCACUAUGAGUAUGUAUUCUUUGAUUUUGAUGUAUACUGUCACAUCUUAAAUAGUUACUAAGCAGGGUACUUGUGAAAUUUCUUCAGGUUUUUUAUAUUACUUCAAAUCUGUGUUAUGUAACAUUAAAACAAUCACAACAUUUUUUUAUAACAACACUCAGUCUGGGCAAAAUCAAAAGAAAUUUAAUAUAGCCUUGAUGUAGCAUAGUUUAAACCUUUUGAUUUUCAAUAACAUUUCCACAAUGUCUUGGAAUGAUAUCACAUCUAAUUUUGUUCAUUUAGCUAUAGAAAAGAACUUGAUACAACAUUUCAAUUUGCCACAUCUUUUUGACAAAUACUUUGUAGUUGUAUUUUAAUUGUCCCUUCUUCUUUGAACAGCUUGUGUUGCUGUGAAAAAAAUGUUUACCUAAUAUUAAUGAGAUUGAUUUGUCAUUCAACAAUUCAUUCAGUUUUCUCUGGAUAAUGCAAAUGUAAAUUCUUGAAUUCUAGAAAGUUUUAAUUAUACAGCUCUGUAUGUGCAUGCAUUAUUGAUAUAACAAAUUACAAUUAUGAGGUAUUAUCUGGAAAUUUAAGUGAAAUAUUAACUUGUUGACACCAAUUGACAACUUGUAAUUUUGGCACUACUUGGCAAACCCUUAAAUUUAUUUCAAAAUGGAAUAUGUUAUAAAAGUAGAAUGUGUUUUUUUUGUUAACACGAGUUUAAACCACACUUGGACAUCUGGCAAAUCCAGGGAUUGUGCUAGUAACAUCCAAAUGUUAUUGAUACCUGAGGCUGUAUAAAUGAACAAUCCUUAUUUUUACGUUUUAAGCAUAGCUUUCUACAGAAAUGUGAGAUAUAUCUUCGACUAUUGAUCUUAACAAUAAAUAGACAGAACAAUAAAAAUCACCAGCCUACGAUAUAUUGUAAUUUGUCUUCUGAUAAAAAUACAGUUCCUGAUUUUAAUUUGAAAUAUCCUUUAGUCUUAGGUAAAACUGCAUAGUCUUGUCUCUUCAGUUUUUAUUGUUUGCAGUUUUAACUAUAAAAUAGUGUCAUCAUCAUAUAAGAUAAGUAGCACAAACGUUUAACAGCGACGAAAGAACAUAUAAUUCACGAUAUAAAUGAUGUUAAAAUCUUGCAAAGGAGAAAUUCUCAAAUGUUAACAGUACUGAGGAAAGUAAAACAUUUGUCGAAAAAUGUAAGAAUCACGCAGAUGAAUUGAUAAGGUUUUAUUGUUGGCCAUGUGAUAUAUCUGUCUGUGCAAUAUGCAUUUGUACUAGGCAUCGAGCUUGUGAAAAAGUUGAUUUUAUAGGGGAUAUUGCAAAAACCUGGACAGAAUCAGAUGAAUGUACAAAGAUGAAACAAACGCUAGCUUCCCUUACGGAACGUCUGAAUAGCGCAGAGAUGAAGUUUCAGUCGAACAUUAGCUCCACUGAAGAGUUUAGUAAAAUGGCAAAAUCGGCUAUCAAAAAACAGCGAGAUGCUAUCGACACUUUUUUUGACAAAAUCGAAGAAGAAAUAACUGAGAAAGUUGAACAAAUGCGAUGUGAAGACACGGAAAAUAUGGAAAAACGGAAGACAGAAUGUUCGGCCAACAUGAAAGAAGUUACAGGCCUGGUAACUGACGUGGAAAAUAAAGAAAAGUUGCAUCAGUUUUGCCAGUUAUUCAUUAAUUAAAAAAAUUCUAGGACAGCAAUUGAAAAGUUAGAGGAAAAUAUGGGCAAGAUUGAGGAUGCAAAUUCAAUUACAAGGUACGAGUUUCAGCCUGCCGACUUCAUUGGUAAAAUGUUUGAGGAAAAGGAAAUGGGAUAUUUGAAGACUACUUUGACUGAUGAAAAUCAGUUCGGCAAGGGUAGCUGUGAAGAUACUACGGAAACAUAAUAGCCCAUAUACACGAUGAUAUCAUCUUUAUAUCAUUUGUAUUUGUUAUCUAUUUAUAACUCCAAAUGUUGAAGUAUGUUCAUUUCUGCCAUGAAAACAAUCAAAUGUUCGAUUUAGCAUUCAGGAAUGUAAUGUACAAAGAGACAGUAGUGUAUAUCGCACAGUACUCGGAUUAGACUUCGUUGUAUUUACUCAUUUGCCUUCUUCCAGAUUAUUGUAAAAAUAUAGAAAUGCACAUGUAUCUAUCCAUAAUAUGUGAAUAUAGAAUCUAUAGGCCUUUACUGAACUAUUUUGAGAAGUUUUUGAUACACUUUAAGUGUGUAAACACAGAGUUUCGGUCAUAAGACCAAACAAAAUAUAUAGUGUAAUUGCUUAUUUUCCAGGUAAAGAAGGUGUUCAACUUCUAUUCAGAUUCUAAGACGGAAAAUUUGUAUUGAUAGUUUGCUAGUCAAAUUUCCUUUGUCUGUGAUAAAUGUCCCAUAACCUUAUUAAUUCUAUGUAAAAACUAAUAAAGUAGUUGUAAUAGUAGAGGGUAUGUAUAAUCAUACGAUUAGAUAAACAAUAUUGUUAAUAUUGCACACGAACCUACAUAAUCAAAGCCAUAAAUGGAGGUUUUUAAAACAAUGGAUACAAUAAUACAUUCUACUUAAAACAAACAUUUAACCUUUGACAUAUAUGUGAGAAAAGCUUAUCAAAAACAGGAAUUAACAAGAAAUUAAUGCAUUUUACAUUAAAGGUUGUUCUGCACUUUCGGAUCAGUAUUUUUUCUACGAUGUAGAAUUUGAGAAAACCUGUUUUUUCAAUACCUCGGGAUAUACUUAGAAAACUCUGCAAAUAAUAAAAGAUAGGGUCCUGUGCUUGAUUUUUUUUGCUAGACUUAUUUGAAAAAUUAAACCUCACGCAAGUUUACGUAAUGGGAGUCUAUGGGAAAAUCACUAUUUUCAUAACAUUUUUGCGAAAUAGAAUUUUUUCUACAACGUAGAUUUUAGUGAAACUUCUCAUAAAUAAACAUAUGGUCUAUAAUAUGGUCAAAUAAAAUGUAUAGGUCCGUGUGCUUGUUUUUGAGAUGUUUGCCCAUGAUCAAAGUUAUCCUCACUUUUCGAGCUGGUUUUAAGCCAUUAUUUUGAAUUAUUUAACGUGUCACAUUUUUUAAUGUCAUAUAUUACCUUACGAAAGAUAGAUAAGUUGCCAUUUUGAUUAACUCAAUCACGGGCUGCCAUUAAUUCAUUAAAAUUAAUGAUUUUCAUUUCCGUACGCCGAAUCCGGACUUUAUUCUACGUUAUCUGGAUAAAUGACAUUACGCUAUCACUUCCAGUCUAUAAAACGUACAGAACUACCUUAAAGCCAAAAAUGUUGCAACCACAUUAUGAACAAAGUAUUUAUGAGCCCUUUAAACCGCUAUUAAAUCUGUUUGGGUUUUCAUAGUAUACGUCUGCAGUUGUCGCUUCAGGAUACCACAAAUACCAAAAGACUACUGGACUCCAAAAGGUACAAUGAAAUCCAUUCUUCGGGAGGUAUUAAACUGACUUUCCUACAUUAAAGAUAGUCAAAUAUUUGUUGAGAAGUAUUGCUUAAUGCAGUAUAUUGACGAAAUAUAAAAUAUUAAGUCAACUUAUCUGGAAACAGAUUAUGUUAUAAAGCCCUUCUCUAUUUAGUGUUCAAUUUAGUUUAGUUGUUGACAAUUGCUUUAAAACGGUACUCGACCCAAACAAUGACUCUUGCAUCUUAAUGGUAUUCUGUUUUUCACGACCAUUGUCAGAUAACCCACCCGCUUAUGCCCAUUUGUUCCAUAUAACUUGUACAUAGCCUCAUCAGAAAUAUGAACGUUUUUCCAUAUCUGAUUGCACAUUUUAUAAUACAGCCUACAGGGACUUGCCCUUUGUUUGUUGUUUUUUGAAUUGUUUAGAUGAUUAACUAUGCAUUUGAUCGCAGCUUUGCUCCCUAAUCUUUGAAAAAACACGAUAUAACUACAAAAGAGGAACUCUUUACUUGGUUGACAUCUGUCUUAUAUGUCAGUAAACUGACAUUUUGUAAUCUUACUAGCAAUAGACUCAAUGACUGAUGGUGAUGUCGUAGUAGAUUAUUUUGUGGAAUGUUUCCUGAAUUAGAUGUAGAAUCGAGAUUAAUGAAAUGAAUAUGCACCAUCUAAAAUUAGACUCCCGCCCAAAAAUAUUGUAACGCUUUUGUCGUUUUAUUCAUUUUGUCGUAUCAGCAAUUUUAUGUUGACGUUAAGUAUUACCAUCAAAACAUACUGUACAUAUAAAGUAAUUCGAGAUUUUCUCGCUUGUAAACUUCAAGUUUUCUGUUAAUGCUAUUUGGAUGCUACGCACCAUCACCGUAUUAUAACAGCAUUUUCCCAAACCCAUUAGAUUGUUGUUGCCGACAUAUAUAUAUAAUCUCUCUUUAGCUAAACUCCCGUCCAAAUAAUAGAUCAGUGUUAGUUCACGGUCCCGGACGGCCAUACUCCGUUCUUGAUCUGGAUGUAUCAAAUAUGCGCUGCAUUUAAGGGCGUUUCACAGAUCUGGUAGCACUUUUCUGUCCAGCACAUAGCAUAUGUGAAACUUUCACUUUUCUCUAUCUAGCUGGUCGUAUUUCAGUCAAAUUAUAAGUCUUUUUCAAUCCAUGUGCAUUUACAAAGGGGCAAACAGACGACCAAAUCCCGAUCUGUGCCACUACACUGGAUUCCCGAAAUUUUCAUAGAUGGUCUUUAUUAUUUAUUUUCGGCCGAUGAUAUUUAGGUAGAAUCGCUUAUCUAAAGGUGUUUGAUUAUUACUUUUGUAGGUUUUGAUUGCCUACGUAGAGUAGAUCUUUGUGUUAAUGUUUUAUGGUAACAUUUCUCACUUUCAUUUGAUUGAUUAUGUAUACGAAGGGAUAACCUUUCAAGCCUUAAAUCAUUAGGGUUGCUAUAAUUACGAGAGGUUGUUGAUGUAUCAAUUCUUAAAGAUAACACUAUAUGUUUGC